CUGCAUCUUAAGCUGACCAGUUCUCCCUCCCAUGUGUCUCUGGUGUGCAAAUGAUGCAGACAGUGACUCUUUGGUUGUGUAUGUCCUCAGCUGGGUGGUGCUGAGUGCUUUAAGGGACCACUGAGACAAAA